GGCGCGGCGCCGUCCGAGUUCCCUGGAACGGGACGCCGGAGAGGGUGAGAGCCCCGUACGGGCGGCCGCCUAGCCUCUGCGAAGCUCCUUCGACGAGUCGAGUAGUUUGGGAAUGCUGCUCAAAAUGGGAGGUAAAUUUCUUCUAAAGCUAAAUACCGGCCAGAGACCGAUAGCGCACAAGUAGAGUGAUCGAAAGAUGAAAARSMMCUUUGAAAAAGAGGGUCAAAACAGUACGUGAAAUUGUUGAAAGGGAAGCGCCUGUGGCCAGACUUGCGCCCCGCGGACCACCCGGCGCCUCGCGCGCCGGGGCACGCCAGCGGGGCGCAGGCCAGCAUCGGCUCUCUCGGGGGGACAAAGGCCGCGGGAACGUAGCGCCCUCGCGGCGUAUUAUAGCCCGCGGCGCCAUGCCCCCGGGGGGGCCGAGGACCGCGCUCCGGCAAGGAUGCUGGCGUAAUGGCCACCGGCGACCCGUCUUGAAACACGGACCAAGGAGUCAAGCAUUGGGGCGAGUGUCUGGGUGGCAAGCCCGCACGCGGAAUGAAAGUGAACGCAGGUGGGAGCUUCGGCGCACCACCGACCGAUCCUGAUGUCCUCGGAUGGAUUUGAGUAGGAGCCCCGCCGCUUGGACCCGAAAGAUGGUGAACUAUGCCUGUAUAGGGUGAAGCCAGAGGAAACUCUGGUGGAGGCCCGCAGCGGUUCUGACGUGC
rnacentral:rRNA from 1 species